rnacentral:sRNA from 1 species
UAAGAAAAAUCCCGUAGUUUGCCUCAGU